GAGCGAACGCUGGCGGCAGGCCUAACACAUGCAAGUCGAACGAACCUUUCGGGGUUAGUGGCGGACGGGUGUGUAACACGUGGGAACGUGCCUUUAGGUUCGGAAUAACUCAGGGAAACUUGUGCUAAUACCGAAUGUGCCCUUCGGGGGAAAGAUUUAUCGCCUUUAGAGCGGCCCGCGUCUGAUUAGCUAGUUGGUUGAGGUAAUGGCUCACCAAGGCGACGAUCAGUAGCUGGUCUGAGAGGAUGAUCAGCCACAUUGGGACUGAGACACGGCCCAAACUCCUACGGGAGGCAGCAGUGGGGAAUCUUGCGCAAUGGGCGAAAGCCUGACGCAGCCAUGCCGCGUGAAUGAUGAAGGUCUUAGGAUUGUAAAAUUCUUUCACCGGGGACGAUAAUGACGGUACCCGGAGAAGAAGCCCCGGCUAACUUCGUG
rnacentral:rRNA from 1 species